rnacentral:rRNA from 1 species
GUGUCAGCAGCCGCGGUAAUACAGAGGUGGCAAGCGUUGUUCGGAAUUACUGGGCGUAAAGGGCGCGUAGGCGGCCUUCUAAGUCGGACGUGAAAGCCCCAGGCUUAACCUGGGAACUGCGUCCGAUACUGGGAGGCUUGGAUUCGGGAGAGGGAUGUGGAAUUCCAGGUGUAGCGGUGAAAUGCGUAGAUAUCUGGAGGAACACCGGUGGCGAAGGCGGCAUCCUGGACCGAGAUCGACGCUGAGGCGCGAAAGCUAGGGGAGCAAACGGGAUUAGAUACCCCCGUAGUCC